rnacentral:pre_miRNA from 1 species
GCAGACCGAUGGUCGUGGCUGGCACCGUGGGUGGUGGUAUCCCAUGGCUGAGUUGACAGAAGAGAGAGAGCACAGCUGGAGUCGGUGGCGACCCCUGUGAGACACCCGCCUGGAGGGAGCUCUGGACCGGGGAAGCCGUGGCUGCCAUAUGCAUGUGGGCCAUAACCCGUGUGAGGACGC